UCCUUGAUAGUCUAGUGGUUAGGAUAUCUGCUUGUCAUGCUACCGUGCUCGCAGGGGACCGGGGUUCAAUUCCCCGUCGAGGAG
rnacentral:tRNA from 1 species